rnacentral:rRNA from 1 species
CUACGGGGCGCUGCAGUGGGGGAUAUUGCACAAUGGAGGAAACUCUGAUGCAGCGACGCCGCGUGAGUGAUGAAGUAUUUCGGUAUGUAAAGCUCUAUCAGCAGGGAAGAAAGGCUCCGUAUGGAGAGAUGACGGUACCUGAGUAAGAAGCCCCGGCUAACUACGUGCCAGCAGCCGCGGUAAUACGUAGGGGGCGAGCGUUAUCCAGAUUUACUGGGUGUAAAGGGAGCGCAGACGGAUGUGCAAGUCUGAUGUGAAAGCCCGGGGCUCACCCCCGGGACUGCAUUGGAAACUGUAGAUCUGGAGUAUUGGAAGGGCAAGCGGAAUUCCUGGUGUAGCGGUGAAAUGCGUAGAUAUCAGGAGGAACACCGGUGGCGAAGGCGGCUUGCUGGACAAUAACUGACGUUGAGGCUCGAAAGCGUGGGGAGCAAACAGGAUUAGAUACCCCCGUAGUC